UAGUAACAGGACAGUGAUAGUGAAGAUAGAAGAAAAGUGUUUGCCCUAGCGGUCUCUUGGCGUUGUUUACAAGAACCGUGAUGGCGGACAGAAGGGUUCGGUGACCAGUGACACUCUUUCAAUUUCCUCCACUCCCAGAACUCAGAGAUUCAACAAGAAAGGGAAAAGAAGAGAGAGAGAGAGAGAGAGCAAGAGGCACACAGACAGACAGGCAGUGAGAGAGAGAGAGCGAGAGACAGACAGACAGAGAGAGAGAGAGAGAGAGCAAAAUGGAGGGUGAUAUGUGCCCCCUUUCUCUGUCACAGCCAGCAGCCACAGACCUGCCUGAUAUUGCUCAGUUUUUAUCUUUUUAUAUGUCUGAGGAAGAGACACUAGCUCUGCAGGAGGGACGAGUGAGCAGUGUGAUGAGCCACAGUGUAUUCACAGCCACAGAGCAGCCCACACAGCACACAGAAUUGACACCACAGCCAGCACUAGCACCACCACCGCCGCCACCACAACAGCAGCAGCAACAACAACAACAACAACAACAACAACAACAACAACAAUUGUGAUCGGAGGAGCCCAAUGGAGAAGAAAGGGAAGGAAGGAGAACAAUUCAUGACAAACAAAUAAAGUAAGGAAGGAAGGAAGGAAAGAAGGAAGGAAGGAAGAAAGAAAGGACAGUGUUGAGUCUCGCAGGUCACGCCAGCGUCUUGUAAACUGUAAAUUUGCUUGCUUCACCUGGCAAUUGUGAACCACCAAGCAAAAACCAAGCCAUCCUAUUGGUCAACAGGGGAUCACCAUCAGCCCUCCCAUUGGCCCAGAGCUUUGUGGAUUGUGAUUGGACGGCUGGCUGGCUGACCUGACCUGACCUCAACCGAGCCAACAUGAUUUACGUUUUCCUCGUUGACACUGGCACCAUGAUGACCUUUGACAUGAACCUGGCACUAGAGAGUGUUGAGGUGUUGAAGGGUGCAAUACACAAUGCUGUCAAGGUGCCCCCAGACAAACAGGUGCUGCUGGCCUCUGGGGGUGAAACACUGGACUCCUGCAAGCGGGUAUGUCAUUACUCGGCCGGCACAGACACGUCCCCCAUCUUUCUGUUCUCCAAGGUGGCCAUUGAGGGAGCGGCUCCACCAACCCCCUCUGUGCAGCCUGGCGGGGACGGCGACCUCAGGGCACAGGUGGAGGGGUGUCUCAACAUGCCAGCCACUUACAACACUGUGGUGGCGCAGACAUAGCACAGCAGUUUUACGAGCACGCUAGUGAGGUCACCAGAACGUGUCGCCAACUUGUUCAUGACCAGCAUCUGCAGCAACAAGGCUGGGCAGCAGUGGUGGCCAACCUGGAGGACAUUGUGGCAGCCUUCAGAACAAAACAUGACGCAUUCCAGCAAAAUUUUGUGGAGUAUCUCAGUGGCCGGGAGGAGAAGGUCGCCCUGCUUCAGUCUUUUGAAGAGGACCUUAAGCUACUGGCAAGGAUUCCAGUCUUCCCUGAACUCUUGGGGAAGACACAAGAGGAAGAGGAAGAGGAAGAAGCUGGGAAGAAGAGGAGGACAAGCACAGCACAGAAGAAAGAGGAGGAGGAAGAGAAGGAAGAGGAGGAGAAGGAGGAGGAGGAAGAGGAGGAAGAACAGGAGGAGGAGAAAAGAGGAGGAGAAGGAGGAGAAGGAGAAGGAGGAAAAGGAGAAAUGAGGCAAGUGUCACUGCUGGACUGGAUCAGCGCCAAGGACAGCCAAAGUGACGUCAGACAGAUUGCCCAACUCUGCUGCAGGGGACUGGCUCAGAUCAGUGAGGGGCUGCUGGAACAAGUGGGGCAAGAGGUCAGCGCUGUGCUUCGAGAGGCAGACCGGCCACAGAUGAAGGAGGUGAAGGGGCUUGGUGAGCGCCUGUGUGGCCUGGAGCAGCUCAUGCAUGAUGCUGCCUACGUGGUGCAGGAGCAGAGCAAUUUCUCACAGGCUCUGUUGAAGAACCAGGACAGGGCAGGGAAGGUGAAUGACCCAUCUAUAUUCCCUGACCUCUGCACUUCACACCGCAAGAAUUUGAUGCACAUGUUGAAAAACCAUCAAAAGCUGCAAGACAUCAAAAGGAGAUGCAUCAAGGCAAAGGAAGAGCUGUCGGAGAAUUUGUACGUUAGAUUGAAGUGGAUAAUGUAUAUAGAGAGGCGCCUGUACGAGGCGGACACGCGCGUCUCCAUGCAUCAAGAGAGUGUUCGGCGCCUGGCUGGACUCCUGCAAGUGGUGGAGCAGAUUCACCGCGCCCCGAGGGUCUAUGCCGCAGCCGUCACGGAGGUGGCUCGCCGGCACGCCUUCUCCACGGCCUUCCUGCAGUGGGCGUCUGAGCUGAGCAGCCAGAGUGGAGAGGUGUGGAGGCGCGAGGUGGAGGCAAGAAGAGGCUUUUCCCAAGACUUCUCCACCUACUUCCUAGCCUCUCUCUUUCCUGGUAUGGAAGAUCUGCCUCCUAAUUUUGCAACCUCUCUACCAUCCCAGUUUGACAUGGCUCUCCCUAAGGUUACCAAAGAAAACAUAGAUGAACUGAGAAGAAUGCUGCCGGAACUUUCUCACUGUCUGGUCAUUGGUGAGGUUCUGGCGGUUCCUCCUCUGCUUCGCCAUUUCACAGCCGCCCUCAAUACACAGGAGGAGAGGAGGAGGAGGAGGAGGAGGAGGAUGAAGAAGAACGAGGAGCAGGAAGACAAGGAGCAGGAGGAGGAGGAGGAGGAGAAAGAGGAGGAGGAGGAAAAGGAAGGCUCUAGGAGAUUACAAGAAAAGACAAGCACACAAGAUUAUGAGAUAAAAGAAGAGGAGGGAGAGGAGGAGGAGGAAGAAGAAGAGGAGGAGGAGGAGGAGGAGGAGAAGAGGGGCUCUGUGAAGACCAAACAGCAUUUUACAGCUCUUCCUGACUACCCAAAGCACAUCAAGCACAGGUUGAAUUGAGUGAAGCAAGAGUGGAAGUAGAGAGGCUGAGAGACAGACUGGGACAACUUGGUGAUUUGAAGGGACAAGUGAAUGCACUGAGAGAGAAGGUGAAGGUGGAGGGCAGUUCCUACCUGUCGUAUGUGUCUCAGGUGUCGUCGUCAAUCUUGGACUUGAUCUUCCAGAUACAAGACGAGAACACAAGCAAGAGGAAGGAGGAGGAGGAAGAGGAGAGGAAGAGAUCGGACAGCCUUCACCAGCAGCUGACAGAGACCCAACACAAGCUGGCAGACACUCAACACAAGCUGGCAGACACACACAGACUGGCUGAUGUUUAUAAAGGCCAAUUGGAAGAUGCUCACAGGGAGAUUGAAAUAUAUAUGGACCAAUUGCAUAGACAAGAACAAAGCCUACAGCAAGCAGCAACGGAAGCAGAGGAGGCAAGACAGAAGAUGGAGGAGGAGAGAAAGAAGGAGGUGGAGGAGGUGGAGGAAAGGUGGAGAGAGAAGAUGAAGCAAGCUACUCUAGAACAUGAACUGGAGAUGGAAGAAUUAAGACAGCAGUUAGGAACAGUGAAGGAGACACUGGUGGCCGGCCUAGAGGGAAGAGUGGAGGAGAAAGUAAGGGAGCAACUUCAGCAAGAAAAAGAAAGAAUUGUAAAGAUUUUGGAAACAAGUUUUGUAGAGAGGGAAAGAAAUGCACUGGAAAUUUUGAAGGCAGAGCUGCUGGAAAGGUUGAGGCAGGAGAAGGAGGAAGCAGUGGAAGAAGAAGGGAACAAGAUCAGAGCUGAGUGGAAGAAAGAUUUGCAUAGGAAAGAAG